rnacentral:tRNA from 1 species
GCAAACAUGACAAUGUAUCCUGUCACACAGUAUGUUGUAGUUCUCAUCCAUGUGUCUCAGGCCUCACAGAAUUAUACAUCAAUUACUAAAUCAGAUUGAGCAGGGAAUGGUCCGUUGUUCUAAGUGACUGCAUGUGUCCUUCCUCCCCUCUAUACACUUUAAACAUACAAGGCGUGGAUGAGUUCCCUUAAACCUAGAUUUAAGAGGUGGGGAAAAUGUGCUGAGGACACUCAAAAUUCCUUUCUUAUCUCCUGCCUAGUCCUGUCUUUCGACUUCUACCUGCCAUCUAUCUGGUCAUUUCCACUGGGAACUAGAGUGGCCCAUAGGCACUUCAAACUUGUUUACUUCAGAGAAAACACAUGGUUGGCUAUGAAUUCCCUUCUCGUCCUACCACCAGACCUACAAACACCCUAUAUCUACAGAAGUCCUCUCAGUCCCACCUUUAAUCACAAAGAUAUCUUCCAACAAAAGCCUAUCUCCUCAGCACAUAUUUUGGACUCUAUUUUUCUCCCACAUUCUCAGGGAACUCUCUUAUGUGUAGCUGCUUACAAGCUUAUAAUUGUGUCACCAUUCCUGGCUCCCAUGAUCAAUUACCAUUUUUUUUCAUUAUUGUUUGGUUAUCUCUCAUUCUGUAUGUCCUCAAUCCCUACUCAAUCCCAUAUCCUUUUCCUUAUUUUCCCCACCCCUCAAAGCCACACCUUUUGAAAGACCUGCCUAAAUGUCUUUAUUUCCUCACCUGAAGCAUUUUAGUACAGGUUCCACUAUCCGAAACUGCCGACUUCGAUGUCUUCAGUAUCCAUUUCUGUUGACUGUUCUUCAUGGAAAGCUCUUUCAUUGACUUCAUUACAAUUCAUUCGCCUAGUUUUUCUGAUGUUCCUCCAGCCUUCCUCUCAUAUAAGCCUUUUUACCUAACCAUUUUCUCCACAUCCAUGAAUCCACCCACCAUCUCUAGGCCAGUUGCAUCUAUUUCUCCUGCCAGAGACUGAAUGUGCAGGGUUACCUUCUGGUCCUGGUUUCUUCCAUUGUUUCAUAUUUUGCUGAAUGGAAAUUGGGUUCAUUUUGGCAUAAGCCAGAAAUGUAGUCAACAUCUUUUUUUUUGGUAGAUGGACACAGUACCUUCAUUUACUUAUUUUUAUGUGGUGCUGAGGAUCGAACCCAGUACCUCACACAUGCUAGGUGAGCGCUCUACCACUGAGCUACAACCCCAGCUGUAGUCAACAUCUUUGAUAGCCUUGUUCCAUAUCUAUAAAACCCUCUGCCAACCCUUAUUAAUUUUACCUUCUAAACACCAGUGAAACCAUCAAUUCUCUAAAUUCAUUGCUUUGCUACAGAGCCUAAUCCUAAUACUAGGUCUCCCUUCCUCCAUUCUUGCCCCCUCAAAUUCAUUCUCAUUAUGGCGAUCAGUUAUCUUUUUAAACUACAAACCUGAACCUGUGUAAAACAUUAUAACUUUCAAUUGUUCCUAGGGCAAAUCACAAUUUUUUUUUUUCUUUUGCUGUAUUGCUCGGGCUGGCUCUGAACUCUUGGGCUCAAGUGAUUCUCCUGCCUCAGCCUCAGCUGGGAUUGCAGGUGCCUGUUACUGUACACUGCUACAUUACAAAAUGUAAGUCUAUAAAAUGGAUUUUGUAAUGUUGCAAACCUCAUUUCUCUUUUCAGUGGCUCCAUCCUCCCAGCUAAUCCCAGAGUUUUGGGGCUUCUCAUUCUGCACAUUCUCUGGGAAAUCCUCAGAGAGCUUUAAAUAACCAUUUCUUUCCUGUCGGCCCUAAAUCUGUGUCCAUCUUCCCAUGCUUUCCCUACUUCCUCAGAUUAAGGUUUUCUCUUCACUGUUGCUAUCCUAGUUCAGACCACUUUAUGAGUCACUGCAUCAUGCUCUCUCUGGCCUAUCUGCUCAAUGCAAGCCUGACUGUAUUAGCCAGAGUGAUCGUCAUAAAACAUAAAUUUGAAGUUGCCUCUCAGAAUUUCCUCACUCCCCUUAGGAUAAUUCAGUGUUUUUCAAGGACAGCACCAUUGGCACUUGAGGCAUGUACCCUAUGCAUUUGCACUACACAAUGCUUGGUGUCCUAGGGCUUCUUCCCAUUUUUAUUUCAAAACCCAUAAGAAGGCAGUUCUCUUGAAACUGCAAAAUCUGCUUCCUUCCAUCUGCUUCACCUAUAUUUAUGGUACGGUGCUUCUGACCAGAUCCUGACCUAUGUGGGGCACUCAUCUCCCAAGCUGUCCUCCUGGAUCCUGCAACCUGUCUUCCCAAUGCCCAGUGCAGGCAGCCCAUGAUUUGCUGUCUAUAAAUAACUGAAGGAAGAAGAAAGUGAAAUCAAGAGGAUCAGAAAGCUAAAAUGUCCCUGCAGGUGGAUAGAGCACGCCCUCUGGUGGCCACCACCUUCCCCAUGCAGGAUGACAAAAGGCUGCAGAGUACAGGAGGCACCCCUCCAGCCAUUGACUCAAAGGUAGUAUUCUGUCUCCCAGUCUCCUGACCCCUCUCCUUGAGACCUAGGCAUUGGAUUGUGGGACAUUCAGUACAAUGUCAGUGCAUGAUGGUUUGGCAUGGAGGCACCCCUAGCGUUGAUACUCCACCAAGCCCCACUCCCUGCCCUGUGAUGCCGUCUCCUGACUCCCCCUACACCAACAAACAUCUUUCCUUCUCUUCUGCACUACUCACAAAGUAUAGCUCUACUCAAAGAAGAAUGCACACAGCAAUGUCCACCUUUACUGCUGGGGCAUACCUGACAAACAUCCCAGGAAGGGUUUGCUGGCUACAAAUACUAAGGACUUAACCACUGAACAGGCAGUUUUCUAUUUUCAUCUCACUUGACCACUCACCAUUUUAUCAAGUAACUAUUCCAUUUUGAAACUCUUCUCUUGGAUUUUAUGAUUCCUCUUCUGGUUGCUAUUCUGAGUCUCCCUUCUUUGCCUUAAAUAUCAGUGUUCCUGAAUUGUUGAUUCAGGAACACUGAUUGUUGAUUAGCUGUUGGCUCAUUUCUACCUAGUGUAGAUUUUCCUCCUGAGUUCCAGAUCUGUGCAUCCAAUUACCUUCUGGAUGACCCAGAAAUGCUCAAAUUCAAUACAUUCAAAGUAACCAGGUGCAGUGGCGUAUGCCUGUAAUCCUAGUGGCUUGGGAGGCUAAGGCAGGAGGAUCAUGAAUUCAAAGCCAGCCUCAGCAACUUAGCAAAGUCCUAAGCAACUCAAUGAGACCCUGUCUCUAAAUAAAAUAUAAAAAAGGGAUGGGGAAACCCCAAACCAAACCUUAAAACCAAAACAUUCAAAGUUAAACUCCUUACCUACUAGUACCUUUUCUCCUCCUCAUUUACUGGCUAAGACACACUCUGAGUAAGGUGAAUGUGGGCUGUAUAGUCAAGGGAGACCUAGGUUCAAUCCCAGAUCUACCUCGGGCAGGAAAGCCCAAGCUUUAUUAUCCAUUAGUAGGGAUAUUAGUUGCCACAUGAUCUUCUUUGGUUUAGUUCUGUAUCAUCUACACAGUGGAAGACCAUUAGAUAUGGUCUUGUUUAAUUUGCCAUACCCAUUUCCAUUUUGAAUUAUCUUUGGUUCCUUGAACAUACCAGGUAUAUUGUAUAUGCUGCACUUUUGACAGCCCUCCCUUUACCAUACUCAGCAAAACUACCUAUUCACCUGUUCUUCAUGUUUGAACCCAGAUGGUCUCUGAGAAGCAAAGCUAGAUAGUGUGUCUUAGUCACAGUUAUAUUCCCAGCAGCAACACAGGACCUAGACCGACAGUUACGAGUGUGAUGACUGAAGGAAAGAA